GGCCUAACACAUGCAAGUCGAACGGCAGCACAGUGUGUAGCAAUACACAUGGGUGGCGAGUGGCGGACGGGUGAGUAACGCGUAGGAAUCUGCCUUGAAGCGGGGGAUAACCCGAGGAAACUCGGGCUAAUACCGCAUAAUCUCGCGAGAGAAAAGCUAGGUCGUAAGAUCUGGCACUUUAAGAGGAGCCUGCGUCCGAUUAGCUAGUUGGUAGGGUAAAGGCCUACCAAGGCGAUGAUCGGUAGCUGGUCUGAGAGGAUGAUCAGCCACACUGGGACUGAGACACGGCCCAGACUCCUACGGGAGGCAGCAGUGGGGAAUAUUGGACAAUGGGGGCAACCCUGAUCCAGCAAUGCCGCGUGUGUGAAGAAGGCCUUCGGGUUGUAAAGCACUUUAGGCUGGGAGGAAGUCGUGUAGUUUAAGAGAUAACACGAUUGACUGUACCAGAAG
rnacentral:rRNA from 1 species